rnacentral:rRNA from 1 species
CCUACGGGAGGCAGCAGUGGGGGAUAUUGCACAAUGGGGGAAACCCUGAUGCAGCGACGCCGCGUGGGCGAAGAAGUAUUUCGGUAUGUAAAGCCCUAUCAGCAGGGAAGAAGAAAUGACGGUACCUGAGUAAGAAGCACCGGCUAAAUACAUGCCAGCAGCCGGGGUAAUACGUAUGGUGCAAGCGUUAUCCGCCUUUCCUGGGUGUAAAGGGAGCGCAGGCGGCACGGCAAGCCUGAUGUGAAAGCCCGCGGCCCAACCGCGGGACUGCAUUGGGAACUACCGGGCUGGAGUGCCGGAGAGGUAGGCGGAAUUCCUAGUGUAGCGGUGAAAUGCGUAGAUAUUAGGAGGAACACCAGUGGCGACGGCGGCCUGCUGGACUGCAACUGACGUUGAGGCCCGAAAGCGUGGGGAGCAAACAGGAUUAGAUACCCUGGUAGUC